rnacentral:lncRNA from 1 species
AGUGAUGCAGGGGGAGAUUUGACAGACAGAACAGGAGGAUACACAAGACAAGGAAGGAGGAGGUUGAAGUGAUGCAUCUACAAGCCAAGGAAUGUGAAGGAUCGUUGGCAGCUGCCAGAAGUUAGGAGACAGCAUGAAAUGGAUUCUCUCCUGUACUCCCCCAAGCGGACCAACCCUGCCCACCCUUCAUUUUGGACUCCAGGCCUCCAGAACUAUCUGAUUCAUCAAGAACAGUGACGUCCUUAAGGCUGAAUAUAGAUCUUUGGGACUCAGAGCUGAUCAACACCUUCUCCAGCAAUAUCACUGGUGUUGAUGGAAAAGAAAGUUGGCUGAAAUGCCAAGGAAGAAGAGCCUGUGCAAACACUGAGAUGGGUUUACGAAGGAAACCGGCGAAAGCAGUGUCUGAAAAUUCAAGAGAUGCGGCAGCAAUUGUUUCAAGAAACAGGAAGAAAUCAACAGCAUUAACUAUUGGC